rnacentral:miRNA from 1 species
AGAGGUGAUGUUGAGUGACUGUCAGAUGCUGCCAGUGGAAUAGGUGGUAUGACUGAACUGUUGUACUCAUCCUUCCCCA